rnacentral:tRNA from 1 species
GCCUGAGUAGUUCAGACGGUUGAGCGUCCGACUUCGGCUCGGGUCAUGAUCUCCCAGUUGGUGAGUUCGAGCCCCACUUCAGGCU